rnacentral:piRNA from 1 species
UAGCAGACAUACCCAUCCCAUCCUGUGUGCU